UACGGGGGGGGCAAGCGUUGUUCGGAAUUACUGGGCGUAAAGGGCGCGUAGGCGGCCCUCCUUGUCGCGUGUGAAAGCCCCGGGCUCAACCUGGGAACGGCGCGCGAGACGGGGGGGCUGGAGUUCGGGAGAGGAGCGUGGAAUUCCCAGUGUAGAGGUGAAAUUCGUAGAUAUUGGGAAGAACACCGGUGGCGAAGGCGGCGCUCUGGACCGAGACUGACGCUGAGGCGCGAAAGCGUGGGGAGCAAACAGG
rnacentral:rRNA from 1 species